rnacentral:rRNA from 1 species
GCAUAUCAAUAAGCGGAGGAAAAGAAACCAACAGGGAUUGCUCUAGUAACGGCGAGUGAAGCAGCAAUAGCUCAAAUUUGAAAUCUGGCGUCUUCGACGUCCGAGUUGUAAUUUGUAGAGGAUGCUUCUGAGUGGCCACCGACCUAAGUUCCUUGGAACAGGACGUCAUAGAGGGUGAGAAUCCCGUAUGCGGUCGGAAAGGCGCUCUAUACGUAGCUCCUUCGACGAGUCGAGUUGUUUGGGAAUGCAGCUCUAAAUGGGAGGUAAAUUUCUUCUAAAGCUAAAUAUUGGCCAGAGACCGAUAGCGCACAAGUAGAGUGAUCGAAAGAUGAAAAGCACUUUGGAAAGAGAGUUAAAAAGCACGUGAAAUUGUUAAAAGGGAAGGGAUUGCAACCAGACUUGCUCGCGGUGUUCCGCCGGUCUUCUGACCGGUCUACUCGCCGCGUUGCAGGCCAGCAUCGUCUGGUGCCGCUGGAUAAGACUUGAGGAAUGUAGCUCCCUCGGGAGUGUUAUAGCCUCUUGUGAUGCAGCGAGCGCCGGGCGAGGUCCGCGCUUCGGCUAGGAUGCUGGCGUAAUGGUCGUAAUCCGCCCGUCUUGAAACACGGACCAAGGAGUCUAACAUCUAUGCGAGUGUUCGGGUGUCAAACCCCUACGCGUAAUGAAAGUGAACGGAGGUGAGAACCGCAAGGUGCAUCAUCGACCGAUCCUGAUGUCUUCGGAUGGAUUUGAGUAAGAGCAUAGCUGUUGGGACCCGAAAGAUGGUGAACUAUGCCUGAAUAGGGUGAAGCCAGAGGAAACUCUGGUGGAGGCUCGCAGCGGUUCUGACGUGCAAAUCGAUCGUCAAAUUUGGGUAUAGGGGCGAAAGACUAAUCGAACCAUCUAGUAGCUGGUUCCCUGCCGAAGUUU